GUGUCAGCAGCCGCGGUAAUACAGAGGUCCCGAGCGUUGUUCGGAUUCACUGGGCGUAAAGGGUGCGUAGGUGGUGGGGUAAGUCUCGUGUGAAAGCUCGCAGCUUAACUGCGAAAAGUCACGGGAUACUAUCCGGCUAGAGGCUUGGAGGGGGGACUGGAAUACUUGGUGUAGCAGUGAAAUGCGUAGAUAUCAAGUGGAACACCAGUGGCGAAGGCGAGUCCCUGGACAAGACCUGACACUGAGGCACGAAAGCCAGGGGAGCAAACAGGAUUAGAUACCCUGGUAGUCC
rnacentral:rRNA from 1 species